CUUUUCUAGAGCCGCUCCCAUGGCAUAUGGAGGUUCCCAGGCUAGGGGUCGAAUCGGAGCUGUAGCCACCAGCUUACACCAGAGCCACAGCAAUGCAGGAUCCGAGCCAUGUCUGCAACCUAUACUACAGCUCACGGCAAUGCUGGAUCCUUAACCCACUGAACAAGGCCAGGGAUCAAACCUCCAACCUCAUGGUUCCUAGUCGGAUUCGUUAACCACUGAGCCACAAUGGGAACUCCCCAGAAUGUGUUGUGAAGGCAGCUAGAAUUUUUUGGAGGCAUGGCCAGAGAAAGGGGGAGUUAUAUAGAGCUGGGGCCCAAGAAAACUAGGUGCAGAUUCCCUCAGAGCCUGGACCAAAAACUAAGAAGUACAUGUACAGAGCCUGACUCUUUGAAUUCUGCUGCUUGGAGGCUGAGAGCUGAACAGAGAUAUCAGAGGUCAAAAGAGUUUGUAAACAUUGGGAUUGCAGCCCAGCUGGGGUGGACAAUCCUCACUGAAAACAAAACAUAAGCAUUACAUUGAGACCCUAGAAAGGCCCUGUCUUCAUAUGCUUUGUGUCCUAGAGUAAAGGGCUUUCCCUAAGACUUAGGACAAAAAUACUAAGAGACCAUUCUGAGAAACCCUAAAACAAAAUCUGACUACAUCAAGACCUACCAAAUACAUAACUGCUCCUAAAACAAAAAUCAUCACCCUUUAAAGGGAGACAACAUAAUCAAUUUUCCCUAUAAUGUAUCAUCCACAAUGUCUAGCAUGCAAUAAAAAAUUACUAAACCUUCAAAGAAUCAAGGGAAAAAAAUGGAAACAGACCUUGACAUGACCCAGAUGUUAUGAUUAGCAUCGAAAGAUUUCAAAAUAUGCAUAGGGAUGUGAAAUAAAGCAUGAAUAAUAUGAUGUAUGAGAUAACGAAUCUUAGUCAAUACAUAAAAAUGAUUUUAAGAAAGAGCCAUUGUAAAUACUAAGCUGAGAAAUACAAAAUCUGAAAUAAAAGGUCCCCUGGGUAAGCUUAACAGCAAAUUGAACACUAUAGAAGAAAGCAUCAAUGACUUUGAAAAUAGCUUAAGAGAAAUUUUCACAAAUUGCUUACUGUGAAGAAAAUUUUUGAAAUAAAAAAUAAACAAAGCCUUACUGACUUGUGGGGAAUAUAAAGUGUUCUAGCAUAGUGAAAAAUGGAGAUGUAGGAAAGAGAGAAUGGGGGGAAAAUUGAAGCAAUAGUAGCUGAGAAUUUUCCAAAAUUGAUGAGGGGUAUUAAUGAUCAAGAAAAUCAUACCUGGCCAUAUCAUAGUCAAAAUACUAAAAAUCAAAGAUAAAUCAUAAAGCAUUCAGAGGAAAAGAAAGAUACAUUGUGUAUCAGGGCACAAAGAUAAGAAUUACAAAUAACUACUACCAUGAAAAACAGUGGUGGUUGGAAAACAAUCAAAUGAGAUGUAAAAAUCACAGAGAGAAAACUGUCAGCCUAGGCUUCUACAGCCAGUGAAAAUAUCCUUCAAUAAGAGAGGUUUAAAUAAAUUUCUGGAUAAAAGAAAGCUAAGAGAAUUCAAACCCAGCAGAUUCUCACUCCAAGAAAUGCGAAAGGAAGUUCUUCAGACUGCAGAAAAGUGAUAACAGAUGGAAAUUCAGUUAGUUACACAGAGAGAAAUCAAUACCACCAGCCUUGGUAAAUAUGUGGUUGAUUUCUUUAAUACAAAUUGCCCAUUUAAAUAACUAUAAUAACAUAGUUUUAUAAAAUUUAUAACAUACACAGAAGCAAAAUAUAUGACAAUUCAUAACGAAUGGGUAUAUGACUUAGCUCUUCCAAAAAAACAAAACAAAACCAAAAAACCAAAAACCAAAACAAAAAAAGAGGGGCUUGAAUCCAAAAUACAUAAAAUCUACUAUAAAUGAACUAACAACCAUCAAAUGUUGGCAAGAAUGUGUAGCAAGUGGCGCUCCCACACCAUUGCUGGGUAUAUAAAAUGGUACAACUCCCAUGGAAAAAAGUUUUUUGGCUUCUUAUAAAGUUAAAAAUGUACCUCCCUAUGACUCAGCAAUUUCAUUCUAUGUAUUUAACUCAAGUAAACAAAAACACAUAUCCACAAAAAGACACACACAAGGAUGUUCAUUGUGAGACUUAUUCAUAAUAAUCCCAAACUUAAACCUAAAGUCCAUCAGCAAGAGAAAGGAUAAAGAAAUUGUGGUGUGUUCAUACAAUUGAAUACUACUAAGCAACUCAGAAAGACUGCUGAAACAUGCAACGACAUGGGUAAACCUUAAGCCCAUUGUGUCAUGCUAAAGAAGUCAGACGCAAAAGAGUAUAUACCAUAUGAUUUCAUUUAAAUGACAUUUUAAGAACAGACAAGAAUAAUCUAUUGUGAUAGAACAGGAUUUGCUUCUUGAGGGGGACUGACUGCAACAAGGCAGGAGCAAAGAGAGUGAUGAAAAUAUACCUCUUUAUUGGGAUGUCAUUUACACAGGUAUGUAGGUCUGUCAAAAGUCACUGGACUCACACUUAUUAACUGUACAGUUUACUCUCUGUAAAUUUUGCCAAAUUAAAAGUAACACUCGAGAAAACCAUAACAAAUUAGUGAAUUCAAAAUCUGGUAGAAAUGUAUUCUGAGUAUCACAUACAAAAUGUCAAAUAAAUAUUGCAACCGUAGCAAAAUAUCACGUUAAGUCAGGAAGCUGGGUAUAUGGGGUAUCAGAAAUACCAGCUUCUGUAUUUUUCUGCAUGUAUAAAAUAUUUCAAAGUAAUUCAAAUAAAUAAAACAUGACAAAGUUAAAAUGUGUCUCCAAUCUUUGCUGUCUCCUUACAGGGAGACUUGGGUCAGAGAUCAGCAAAUAAGGUCAUUGUUUGCAAAGACCUCAUAAAGGAGAAAUGCAAGCUUAUUGACCCAUGGUUUCUUAUUUUAGAGUAAUUAUUCUGUUGCCACUUCACAGUAUAGAAUACCACCUUUGUCUCAAACCAAGAUGUUAAUUUCCUAAUUUGUUAGGUUGAUCACAGUUAUAAAUCCUAUGAAUCAAUAUUUCAUCAGAUGAGUGGGAGCACAAUUUCUGCGCUGGCUUUUGUUCUCAUGUUUUCCUUUGAAAUUUGGGCAUCUGACUGUUUCACUCAACUGAAAAACCAUAGCCAAGCUCUCUAGGCGAUUUAAAUGCAAAGAGCUUUCUAAAUGAAUUGAUCCUAUUGUUUACAAGAUCAUUCAAUUGUCCUCAUGAAACUUCACUCAGUAGGACCUACUAGAGGGCCCAGAUUCUUUAAAAAUUUCAUUUUCAUACAUUUCUCACACGGAGGUGACAUUUUAAAAAAUCAGCUUUAUAAUUAGUGUUCUUACUUUACUUCUACACCAAUUAGUGUUCACUGAGCUCUCAGAGGGUGGGUGGUAAAUCAUUUAGUAAUAUCUGAUUCCUUCAACAAUUUUGAGUGCUUUAUAUUAAACACAGACUCUGUUCUAGGAGGGUGGUGAAUACUCAGCUAUAAACAAUACAGCCCCGGUUCUCCAGGACUUUCCAAUUAGAAAAAGACAUGACAUUCACACAAAUAACUAUGAUGCCCGAAUAUGAAAAAUGCCUGAGGAGAUGUAAGGAAAGGGUUUUUGGAAUUCAAAGAAAGGAAAACUUUCUGGAAGCUGGGAGGUGAGAGUGGGUUAUCAGGAAAAGGUCUUAGUGAUAACGAUGUUUUAGAAAGGUUUUUAAUGGCUAGGGUUUCAGUAGCUGGGCAGCGGGAGGGAGGUCGGGAGGUAUUUAUAGAGAAGCAUAGAUGCGUGUGGCUGGGGACUCUGAAGUAGUAAAGAUCCGGAUUUGAAUUAGGUUGAAACAGAAAAUAAAAAUGAGAACAAGAUCGUGUACAAUGCUUUGGGAUGCAAGGAGCUGAAAGGCUGAUUUAAAAUGAAAAAUGACAUCACAGGAUCCCCAGAGGCAGGACAGACUUAAGAGUUAUUCGCUUGAGCAACUUGGGGAUGCCAUUAAGGUCCCAGGUUCUUUCGCUGUGUUCUUCCAACGUUGGGGUCGGCUUACUUCCAGGAGACCCAGCCAAACAUGCAUCAUCCCAAAGCAGACUUUGCUUCUCCCUAAGACUCUCUCAGGAACGAGGAAACUUCCAGAGGCCUCUGACACUUUUCUCAUAUUUCAUUGGCCAGAACUGUGUUAUUAGCACAUUCCUAAGCCAAUCAUUGGCAAGGGGGUUGGACUACUCUUAGACCAAUCAGAGCCUCCCUUCCCACCCCUCCCUACCCCUAGACCAUUUCCAAGUGGUGGAUCAAAGAAGAUCUGAGAAAAAUAAGGGUUAUCUUAGGAUAAAGGAAGGAAGGCAGAGAGAUGGAUGCUGGGUGGAGACCAGUAACAUACACUAUGGGGACCAACAGCUAUAUAUUUAGUUUAGCACAUGUGGAUCUGAAUAAUGAAGAUCUUUUAGAAGGGCCAGGCGAGGUUGCUGGACUCUAUUCCACGGACAUGAAGAGACUUAGAGGAUUUUGAACAGGGAAAUGAUAAAAUCAGAAUAUGAUAUUUAGACUUAGAACAGCUUGUGAAAAUGGAGAAAAUGCACAUGUACCUGAAAGUAGUAUGACCACUUGUCAAAAAAUAAAAUAAAAUAAAAAGUUGAAUUUUCACUAGCUUCACUUAUUUUCCAUCUCUCGUAUCACCCCUUCAUCCAUCCUUCUGCCUGGCAUUUGGUCAACACAACUAUACAAAUUAAGCUUUACCAUCCCAUGAAACAAAUGUGAGGUACAAACAGGAUGGAGUGGAGAUAAAUAACCAAUAAUACCCCAUGUUACUCCAACUGUCACCCUUGAAAAGCAAUAAAGAGUCCCAGUCUAUGCCUCUGGCAUAGGUUCCAGUUUUGAGAUUAUGCUUUUAUCUACUUUGUGGUGUAAUUAACUCCCCAAGAUGAACUUCCAUCUUCAGAGCUCAGUUCUUCUAGCUCUGUGUAUUUGAAUUCCUUCUACCCUUGCUAUUAAGACUUUUCCAAAGGUGUGCUCUGGUCCUUCCACGUAACUCAUCAAGUCUCUCUCCUCACUUUCCUUUGGGCUCUCCGAUAUGCCAUCAUACCACUUUGUUCAGAUACACAAUACACUUGCUCCUAUAAACCAGAGUGAGCGAGAUGCUCUGAGUGUAUUUAAAUUUCUCCAUCAAAUCUUUGAACUCACCUUCGGGAGUUAACAUUUUAUCUUUUACCACCAGAUUUUAAAGGGUCCAAACUAUCACAGGAUUAAAUUUAGAGCUUAA
rnacentral:lncRNA from 1 species